AUGAACGCUAGCGGCAGGCUUAACACAUGCAAGUCGAGGGGCAGCAUAAUGGAUAGCAAUAUCUAUGGUGGCGACCGGCGCACGGGUGCGUAACGCGUAUGCAACCUACCUUUAACAGGGGGAUAACACUGAGAAAUUGGUACUAAUACCCCAUAAUAUCAUAGAAGGCAUCUUUUAUGGUUGAAAAUUCCGAUGGUUAGAGAUGGGCAUGCGUUGUAUUAGCUAGUUGGUGGGGUAACGGCUCACCAAGGCGACGAUACAUAGGGGGACUGAGAGGUUAACCCCCCACACUGGUACUGAGACACGGACCAGACUCCUACGGGAGGCAGCAGUGAGGAAUAUUGGUCAAUGGACGCAAGUCUGAACCAGCCAUGCCGCGUGCAGGAUGACGGCUCUAUGAGUUGUAAACUGCUUUUGUACGAGGGUAAACGCAGAUACGUGUAUCUGUCUGAAAGUAUCGUACGAAUAAGGAUCGGCUAACUCCGUGCCAGCAGCCGCGGUAAUACGGAGGAUUCAAGCGUUAUCCGGAUUUAUUGGGUUUAAAGGGUGCGUAGGCGGUUUGAUAAGUUAGAGGUGAAAUUUCGGGGCUCAACCCUGAACGUGCCUCUAAUACUGUUGAGCUAGAGAGUAGUUGCGGUAGGCGGAAUGUAUGGUGUAGCGGUGAAAUGCUUAGAGAUCAUACAGAACACCGAUUGCGAAGGCAGCUUACCAAACUAUAUCUGACGUUGAGGCACGAAAGCGUGGGGAGCAAACAGGAUUAGAUACCCUGGUAGUCCACGCAGUAAACGAUGAUAACUCGUUGUCGGCGAUACACAGUCGGUGACUAAGCGAAAGCGAUAAGUUAUCCACCUGGGGAGUACGUUCGCAAGAAUGAAACUCAAAGGAAUUGACGGGGGCCCGCACAAGCGGAGGAACAUGUGGUUUAAUUCGAUGAUACGCGAGGAACCUUACCCGGGUUUGAACGUAGUCUGACCGGAGUGGAAACACUCUUUCUAGCAAUAGCAGAUUACGAGGUGCUGCAUGGUUGUCGUCAGCUCGUGCCGUGAGGUGUCGGGUUAAGUCCCAUAACGAGCGCAACCCCUACCGUUAGUUGCCAUCAGGUGAAGCUGGGCACUCUGGCGGGACUGCCGGUGUAAGCCGAGAGGAAGGUGGGGAUGACGUCAAAUCAGCACGGCCCUUACGUCCGGGGCUACACACGUGUUACAAUGGUAGGUACAGAGGGCAGCUACCCAGCGAUGGGAUGCGAAUCUCGAAAGCCUAUCUCAGUUCGGAUUGGAGGCUGAAACCCGCCUCCAUGAAGUUGGAUUCGCUAGUAAUCGCGCAUCAGCCAUGGCGCGGUGAAUACGUUCCCGGGCCUUGUACACACCGCCCGUCAAGCCAUGGGAGCCGGGGGUGCCUGAAGUUCGUGACCGCAAGGAGCGACCUAGGGCAAAACUGGUGACUGGGGCU
rnacentral:rRNA from 1 species